UGGGGAAUAUUGCACAAUGGGCGCAAGCCUGAUGCAGCCAUGCCGCGUGUGUGAAGAAGGCCUUCGGGUUGUAAAGCACUUUCAGCGGGGAGGAAGGCGUUAAGGUUAAUAACCUUGGCGAUUGACGUUACCCGCAGAAGAAGCACCGGCUAACUCCGUGCCAGCAGCCGCGUUAAUACGGAGGGUGCAAGCGUUAAUCGGAAUUACUGGGCGUAAAGCGCACGCAGGCGGUCUGUCAAGUCGGAUGUGAAAUCCACGGGCUCAACCUGGGAACUGCAUUCGAAACUGGCAGGCUAGAGUCUUGUAGAGGGGGGUAGAAUUCCAGGUGUAGCGGUGAAAUGCGUAGAGAUCUGGAGGAAUACCGGUGGCGAAGGCGGCCCCCUGGACAAAGACUGAAGCUCAGGUGCGAAAGCGUGGGGAGCAAACAGG
rnacentral:rRNA from 1 species